rnacentral:rRNA from 1 species
GAUGAACGCUGGCGGCGUGCCUAAUACAUGCAAGUCGAGCGAACAGAUGAGGAGCUUGCUCCUCUGACGGUAGCGGCGGACGGGUGAGUAACACGUGGAUAACCUACCUAUAAGACUGGGAUAACUUCGGGAAACCGGAUCUAAUACCGGAGAAUAUAUUGAACCGCAUGGUUCAAUAGUGAAAGACGGUUUUGCUGUCACUAUUAGAUGAACCCGGGCCGAAUUGUCUAGUGGGUAAGGUAACGGCUUACCAAGGGAACGAUGCGUAUCCGACCGGAAGGGGUAUCAGCCACACCGGAACCGAGACACGGGUCCGACCUCUAAGGGAGGGAAGAGGGGGGAAUUUUGGCGAAUGGGGGGAAAGCUUGACGAGGCAACCCGCGGUGGGUGAUGAGGGUUUUCGGUUCGUAAACCUCUGUUAUGGGAGAAAAAAGAAUGUGUAAGUAACUAUGCACGUCUGGCGGGUACCAAUCAGAAAGCAACGGCUAACUACGUG